rnacentral:rRNA from 1 species
CACGUAGGCGGACCAUUAAGUCGGGGGUGAAAUCCCGGGGCUCAACCCCGGAACUGCCUUCGAUACUGGUGGUCUGGAGGUCGAGAGAGGCGAGUGGAAUUCCGAGUGUAGAGGUGAAAUUCGUAGAUAUUCGGAGGAACACCAGUGGCGAAGGCGGCUCGCUGGCUCGAUACUGACGCUGAGGUGCGAAAGCGUGGGGAGCAAACA